rnacentral:rRNA from 1 species
UACGUAGGGGGCAAGCGUUGUCCGGAUUUAUUGGGCGUAAAGAGCGUGUAGGCGGCCAUACAGGUCCGUUGUGAAAACUGGAGGCUUAACCUCCAGACGUCGAUGGAAACCGUAUGGCUAGAGUCCGGAAGAGGAGAGUGGAAUUCCUGGUGUAGCGGUGAAAUGCGUAGAGAUCGGCAGGAACACCCAGGGGGAAACCAGUGGACUGGGCAGGAGCUGACGCUCAGGUGCGAAAGCGUGGGGAGCGAACCGG